rnacentral:lncRNA from 1 species
UGCUGUUUAUGGUAAUAUGAUUUGUCCCUGUUCAUCAUCCUCUUCAUCAUGAUCAUCAACUGUCUACCUUUUGAUAUGAUCCUUUUCCUCAUGUAACAGAUUAUGCAGCCUAGUAGAAGGAUAAAGGAAGCAGCUGUGCACAAACUAAUCGCCAAUAGUCGCUUGUGGCGGCUGUAGUUAUCUUCUUGUGCUGCAAAUUCCCAGUUGUAAUCAUUUGGGACCUGCCAUACAUUAUA